ensembl:lncRNA novel transcript, antisense to MYH7
GAGACACUGGUCUGGAUCGGGUCGGUGGAGUGGGGGACUUACAUCCGUGAUGGCCUUCUUGGCCUUCUCCUCAGCAUUCCUGCACUCCUGCACUGCCUCCUCCACUUCAGUCUGGAGCUGGGACAGGAAUGAGCAGGGGAGCUGCUCACCUGGGAAUGCAGCAGCUGCACCCGCUCACUAGUCUCAAUCAGCUCCUGCUCCGCCAGC